rnacentral:rRNA from 1 species
GGCGAACGCUGGCGGCACGCCUAAGACAUGCAAGUCGAGCGAUCGGCUUCGGGGAGCUUGCUUCCCGGAGUACGGAGCGGCGCACGGGUGAGUAACACGUGGGCAACCUACCCCGAAGACUGGACAACCCCGGGAAACUGGGGCUAAUACCAGAUACGCUUCCUGGUUCGCAUGGACCGGGAAGGAAAUGGAUUCCGCUUCGGGAGGGGCCCGCGGCCUAUCAGCUUGUUGGUGGGGUAACGGCCUACCAAGGCGAUGACGGGUAGCCGGCCUGAGAGGGCGAUCGGCCACACCGGGACUGAGACACGGCCCGGACUCCUACGGGAGGCAGCAGUCGGGAAUUUUGCGCAAUGGGCGAAAGCCUGACGCAGCGAUGCCGCGUGAGGGAUGAAGGCCUUCGGGUUGUAAACCUCUUUCGACAGGGAAGAAGCCGGGGGUCACCCCGGUGACGGUACCUGUAGAAGAAGCCCCGGCUAACUACGUGCCAGCAGCCGCCGUAACAC